AAAUGUAACUGUUUUUGACAUUCUUAGAUCAGAUUCUCCUGGACACUGUGCCAAAUAUGGUAGCUACUCCUUGAUUGAGGAUCGAAUUAACAAAGUUUUGGAUGUUCAGCUUGUCCAAAGCUCAGAAGUCCCAAGCAGCUCUUGGUGUGAGCUAGAGGGUCUAAAGCGAAGUAUGCAGUUCCUGAUGGACCAAGACUUGCAAGUGUCUGCUCUGAUAACAGGCAGAAAUCGGCAAGUAAUGAUGCUAGGAGAGAUCUAAAGCUGAACAGCAUUGACAGGCACAGUAUCACUCAAAAUAAAUUCUAAAUUCUAUAAAAUCAAUUUGUGUUUUAGGUGGCCAAGUGGGUACGUGAGAAAAUGUGUUCAGAAGGAACAAUGUAUUUCUUUGACGUCUGGCAUAUUGGGAAAAUUAUGUAUUGUGAUGUUGGUAGUUAUAUAUAACAGACUUUAUGUUUGUAGUUAAAUUCACUUUCCUAAUAAUUAGUAUGCUCUGCUCUGUUUGUCUGCUCUGGAGCAGGUGUACAGAAAGCACUGGAUGCUACUGCAAAAGAGAGGGACUGUGAGGAUCUAAAGCUGUGGAGGCCAGCCAUUAUCAACCAUCUCUACUGGACCGCAGCUUCCACCCCUACAGGAGAUCCAGAUGAGAUGCAGGCAAAAUGGCAGAGUAUGAUAAAUCAUGUACAGGACAUACAUGAACACAGCACUCGUGCAUUUACCAGCUGCGCACAUUCACCGUUGGAAGGAGAGGCAAGAAACAAGGAGUGGCUGGAAACAGGAUCACCAGCAGCCACUAAACUGGAGAGUGUAGCUGCCAGGAAAGCACUGGUAAAGGAUAUUCGACAAUUGUCACCUCAGCAUCAGACAUUCUCCCUGGAGGCCUACCAUUCCCUCAUUCUGCACUUUGCUCCCAAACACACUGGCUUUUCUUUUCUUGGGAUGUACAGCAGGUAGUGUUAUCACUUAAAAGUAUCGAUACUAAUAAAAUUAGUUUUUUUUUUUUUUUUCAAUUUCAGGAUAUUGCAAUACAUCUGUACUUUUGUAGCAGGUAAAUGAUGACAGAAUGAAUAUGGCUAAAAACUAAUGCAGUCUUGUAUAGCAGACCAAAAUGUUAUAGAUUGAUAAUAGCAUUACAUAUUGUUUGCAAAAAAAUAAUUGCAAAGAUGAGUAAUUGUCUUAGACCCAUUUAAACUGAAAACAUUAAUGUCAUGUAUUUCUGUUGCA